GAUGAACGCUAGCGGCAGGCUUAAUACAUGCAAGUCGUGGGGCAGCAGGUCCCGAGCAAUCGGGAUGCUGGCGACCGGCAAACGGGUGCGUAACACGUACGCAACCUUCCCGUUACUGUGGCAUAGCCCAGGGAAACUUGGAUUAAUACCACAUAUUAUAUUGAGGGGGCAUCCUCUUGAUAUCAAAGCUUCGGCGGUAACGGAUGGGCGUGCGGUUGAUUAGGUAGUUGGCGGGGUAACGGCCCACCAAGCCUACGAUCAAUAGCUGAUGUGAGAGCAUGAUCAGCCACACGGGCACUGGGACACGGGCCCGACUCCUACGGGAGGCAGCAGUAAGGAAUAUUGGGCAAUGGACGCAAGUCUGACCCAGCCAUGCCGCGUGAAGGAUUAAGGUCCUCUGGAUUGUAAACUUCUUUUAUAUGGGACGAAACCUCUUUUUCUUGAGAGACUGACGGUACCAUAGGAAUAAGCACCGGCUAACUCCGUGCCAGCCGCCGCGGUAA
rnacentral:rRNA from 1 species